AAUCAACGCUGGCGGCGUGCCUCAGACAUGCAAGUCGAACGCGAAAGCCCCUUCGGGGGUAAGUAGAGUGGCGUCCGGGUGAGUAACACGUGGGUAAUCUACCUUCGGGUGGGGAAUAACUCAGGGAAACUUGAGCUAAUACCGCAUAAUGCAGCGGCACCUAAUGGUGAUUAGUUGUUAAAGCGGGGGAUCGCAAGACCUCGCGCCUGAAGAGGAGCCUGCGGCAGAUUAGCUAGUUGGUGAGGUAAUGGCUCACCAAGGCUUCGAUCUGUAGCUGGUCUGAGAGGACGGCCAGCCACACUGGCACUGACACACGGGCCAGACUCCUACGGGAGGCAGCAGUGGGGAAUUUUGGGCAAUGGGCGAAAGCCUGACCCAGCAACGCCGCGUGAGGGAGGAAAUCCUUCGGGAU
rnacentral:rRNA from 1 species